rnacentral:rRNA from 1 species
UACAGAGGUCCCAAGCGUUGUUCGGAUUCAUUGGGCGUAAAGGGUGCGUAGGCGGCGCGGUAAGUCGGGUGUGAAAUCUCGGGGCUUAACUCCGAAACUGCAUUCGAUACUGCCGUGCUUGAGGACUGGAGAGGAGACGUAGUAAUUGCGGUGUAGCGGUGAAAUGCGUAGAUAUCAAGAGGAACACCUGAGGUGAAGACGGGUUGCUGGGCUGACACUGACGCUGAGGCGCGAAAGCUAGGGUAGCAAACGGG